rnacentral:lncRNA from 1 species
GACAGCAGUAAAAGUUCCCCAGGAAGCUGCAUCUGCAUCUUCAAGAAACAAGUAAGAUCAUCUCACUGUGAUCUACAAUUUGAUUCAGGUCCCCAAAGGCUAAUGUCCAGCACACUAGGCAUGUGAUAAUUGAACUGUUGAGAAGCAAAAUAUUAAUGAACUGCCUUCCCUUUGGAAGUAAUCUAGGUUUCUCAUUACUAGCACUGCCAGCAUUCUUGUUCUUAGUGUCUAAUUGACGCUUAAUGACUCUCUCUUGGUGUCUCUAAUUUUCCAUAAUUAAUGUGCAUGUAAAAUGAAUCGUGUAAAUAAUGUGUGCUUACAUACCACAUGCUGAAUAAUGUAAGCAAGCUAUUAUAGGUUGCUUAUUUUUGCCCCUUGUGGUCUCUGGAUCUCACAACUUUGCAUUAACUUGAAUCUGGGAGGGAAAAAUCUACCAGGCAUCUCACCUCAUUGAACCAUAAAACCCAGAAAUAGUGAAAAAAGCCUACAGAGAAAAGAGAUCAAAUUCUGCUCCUAUUUUUUGGCCCAUCCCACGGAGUCACUUGCUGUUCUUUGAAGUGCAGGACACAGGAGUUUUCCUUCACCCUUAGGGAAGAGGAUGGUGUGAAGCUGUAUCCCCUGUGGCCACAGAAUGGCCACUGGGCUGUGUUCAGGCUUUUUCUGAAGAAUAUCACAAGGCACAUAACAAAGAAGAGCAUUUAUAUGUAAUGAAUUACUGG